AGAGUUUGAUCCUGGCUCAGGAUGAACGCUAGCGGCAGGCCUAACACAUGCAAGUCGAGGGGCAGCAUAAUUAUUCGCAAGAAUAAUGGUGGCGACCGGCGCACGGGUGCGUAACGCGUAUGCAACCUACCUUUUACUGGGGUAUAGCCCGGAGAAAUCCGGAUUAAUCCCCCAUAGUACUGACAAUUCGCAUGAUGAGUCAGUUAAAGUUUCGGCGGUAAAAGAUGGGCAUGCGUCCUAUUAGCUAGAUGGUAAGGUAACGGCUUACCAUGGCUACGAUAGGUAGGGGGCCUGAGAGGGUGGUCCCCCACACUGGUACUGAGACACGGACCAGACUCCUACGGGAGGCAGCAGUGAGGAAUAUUGGUCAAUGGGCGCAAGCCUGAACCAGCCAUGCCGCGUGCAGGAAGAAUGUCCUAUGGAUUGUAAACUGCUUUUAUUUGGGAAUAAACCCCCCGACGUGUCGGGGUCUGAAGGUACCAAAUGAAUAAGCACCGGCUAACUCCGUGCCAGCAGCCGCGGUAAUACGGAGGGUGCAAGCGUUAUCCGGAAUCAUUGGGUUUAAAGGGUCCGCAGGCGGGCAUAUAAGUCAGUGGUGAAAGCCUACAGCUCAACUGUAGAACUGCCAUUGAUACUGUAAGUCUUGAAUUCGGUCGAAGUGGGCGGAAUGUGUAGUGU
rnacentral:rRNA from 1 species